rnacentral:rRNA from 1 species
GACCUCAGAUCAGGUAGGACUACCCGCUGAACUUAAGCAUAUCAAUAAGCGGAGGAAAAGAAACUAACMAGGAUUCCCCUAGUAGCGGCGAGCGAAGCGGGAUGAGCUCAAAUUUGUAAUCUGACGUCCCCCGGGCGUCCGAGUUGUAAAUUCAAGAAACGUUUUCCGCGCCGGCCGCGUCCAAGUCCCCUGGAAUGGGGUAUCAAAGAGGGUGAGAAUCCCGUGCUUGAYGUGACCACCGGGGCUAUGUGAUACGUUCUCUACGAGUCGAGUUGUUUGGGAAGGCAGCUCUAAACGGGU